UGCCUUUAUCUGGGGGAUAGCCUUUCGAAAGGGAGAUUAAUACCCCAUAAUAUUUAGAAUGGCAUCAUUUUAAAUUGAAAACUCCGGUGGAUAGAGAUGGGCACGCGCAAGAUUAGAUAGUUGGUGAGGUAACGGCUCACCAAGUCAACGAUCUUUAGGGGGCCUGAGAGGGUGAUCCCCCACACUGGUACUGAGACACGGACCAGACUCCUACGGGAGGCAGCAGUGAGGAAUAUUGGACAAUGGGUGAGAGCCUGAUCCAGCCAUCCCGCGUGAAGGACGACGGCCCUAUGGGUUGUAAACUUCUUUUGUAUAGGGAUAAACCUACCCUCGUGAGGGUAGCUGAAGGUACUAUACGAAUAAGCACCGGCUAACUCCGUGCCAGCAGCCGCGGUAAUACGGAGGGUGCAAGCGUUAUCCGGAUUUAUUGGGUUUAAAGGGUCCGUAGGCGGAUCUGUAAGUCAGUGGUGAAAUCUCACAGCUUAACUGUGAAACUGCCAUUGAUACUGCAGGUCUUGAGUGUUGUUGAAGUAGCUGGAAUAAGUAGUGUAGCGGUGAAAUGCAUAGAUAUUACUUAGAACACCAAUUGCGAAGGCAGGUUACUAAGCAACAACUGACGCUGAUGGACGAAAGCGUGGGGAGCGAACAGGAUUAGAUACCCUGGUAGUCCACGCCGUAAACGAUGCUAACUCGUUUUUGGUUUUUCGGAAUCAGAGACUAAGCGAAAGUGAUAAGUUAGCCACCUGGGGAGUACGUUCGCAAGAAUGAAACUCAAAGGAAUUGACGGGGGCCCGCACAAGCGGUGGAUUAUGUGGUUUAAUUCGAUGAUACGCGAGGAACCUUACCAAGGCUUAAAUGGGAAAUGACAGGUUUAGAAAUAGACUUUUCUUCGGACAUUUUUCAAGGUGCUGCAUGGUUGUCGUCAGCUCGUGCCGUGAGGUGUUAGGUUAAGUCCUGCAACGAGCGCAACCCCUGUCACUAGUUGCCAUCAUUAAGUUGGGGACUCUAGUGAGACUGCCUACGCAAGUAGAGAGGAAGGUGGGGAUGACGUCAAAUCAUCACGGCCCUUACGCCUUGGGCCACACACGUAAUACAAUGGCCAGUACAGAGGGCAGCUACACGGUGACGUGAUGCAAAUCUCGAAAGCUGGUCUCAGUUCGGAUUGGAGUCUGCAACUCGACUCUAUGAAGCUGGAAUCGCUAGUAAUCGCGCAUCAGCCAUGGCGC
rnacentral:rRNA from 1 species